ACGAACGCUGGCGGCAUGCCUAACACAUGCAAGUCGAACGAACCCUUCGGGGUUAGUGGCGCACGGGUGCGUAACACGUGGGAAUCUGCCCUUAGGUACGGAAUAACAGUUAGAAAUGACUGCUAAUACCGUAUGAUGACUCCGGUCCAAAGAUUUAUCGCCUAGGGAUGAGCCCGCGUCGGAUUAGCUAGUUGGUGAGGUAAAGGCUCACCAAGGCGACGAUCCGUAGCUGGUCUGAGAGGAUGAUCAGCCACACUGGGACUGAGACACGGCCCAGACUCCUACGGGAGGCAGCAGUGGGGAAUAUUGGACAAUGGGCGAAAGCCUGAUCCAGCAAUGCCGCGUGAGUGAAGAAGGCCUUAGGGUUGUAAAGCUCUUUUACCCGGGAUGAUAAUGACAGUACCGGGAGAAUAAGCUCCGGCUAACUCCGU
rnacentral:rRNA from 1 species